AUUCCAUGAUGUCGGCACUUUCGUAAAAGCUCUUUGUACCUUUCCCAUGCCUCAUACAGGGACUCAUCAUUCAUUUGUUGGAAGGCAGUGAUCUCAUUCCUCGACU
rfam:Gossypium raimondii chromosome 2, whole genome shotgun sequence.